GCCGAAAAAUGAACAAAAAAGUAACAGAAACAACAAGAGAAGGAAAAUAAAAAAAGGAAAGAAUUUCUACUUAUAACGAGUUUUUAUUACAAACGCGCGAAAGCGGCGCACAAACAAACUCAAAAAAAUAGUCUCCCCAAGAACCGAACCCCGAGCCCCGAACCCCGACCCCGCCCCCAACUCCGCAACAGCCGAAAAUGUAUUAAAAAAGUAGUAAAAAUAAGUAAAAAUGGGCAACGUCGUCGGUCUAACAAAAUUCCAAAAGGAGUGUCUAGGUCGAAGGGUGAGAAGGGUUGGGGGAUGGGGGGAGUGCACAUAAAAAGUAACAGCAUUUUUGCCUAGCAGACAACUGCACAGUGGGACAGACAGACGAAGGCAGAUGAAGAGCAAGACUGCGAAAGCAUGAAGCAACAUUAUUCAAAAGAAAGCCAAGUUAAGGCAUGCCGAGCACACACACUUACACACAUAGAAAUGACUAGCUAGAGAGUGAGAGAAUGAGUAAGAGAGAGCGAGAAAGACAGACAAAAGCAGCAUAAUGCAGCGACAGCAGAGACAGUAAGGGAGAGAAGGUGGAGGAGGAAGAGGAGUUGGAGAGCGGCACAGUUACAACUACAAUGCUGGAUCGGACCAAGUAUUAAACAUCACAGGGCAGCAGCAGCAGCAACACUAGCAAUAGCAACAACAACAACAACAGCGACGCCAGCAGCGCCAGCAACAACAAUUACAACUACAACAACAAGCACAUGCCGACAUUCUUUCAUUCGUACAACGACCUCGACUUUGAUUUGCAGUUUUAGCAAGCAAAGAAUUUGCAAGUGAGCGAACGAGAGCGACGAGAGCAGCCAAAGCAAAUUGUAAAGAGCACAGCAAAGUGGCCCACAAAGAGAACAGCAAAAAGAAAUGGGCAGCCGACAAACGGCCUCUAGACGACCUACACGCGUGAGCAACAAAACACGAGGAGAGCGCGAGAGCCAGACCGAGAGCCAGAGCGAGAGAGAGCGAGUGUGAACGAAACCAUUUUAGCUUUCGUCUCGUGUCGUCGUUUUGCAUCGUGUCUUGUCAUCGGGUGGACUCUGCUGCUGUCUCUGCCGCUGCCGCUGCCUCUGUCGCUGCUUUACUAUAUUGCUGCUGCUGCUGGCUGGAAGCUUCGCAAUGUGGUUGGUUCGCCAACUUCAUUCAUUCGUGCUACGCGUCUCGUCUGUGCCGGUCGUCAAACGCUGCUUUUUGCUUUUGACUUUGUUCAAUUGUCAAUUUGCCCCUCAGCCACAUAUUUACUUUCUCACACUAUUGACACCCACACACAUACACACACACACACACACACACACAGAGAGUGGAGAACUGUUGGUGCUAAGAAAGAAAGAAAGACAAAGCAGUGCUAAAAGUGCUAAAUCAAAAGUGAGCAACAACAAUAAUAUAAUAUUAACUGUAACAACUACAAGUACAAAGUAUACAUACAUAUACAUAUAAACAACAAGAAAACAAGUCAAAAAGCCGACGACGCCUGUCUGUGUGUGCUAAAAGUCGCCAAAAAGUUAACGACAACACACGUUACCCACACAAUAAAAAAAGCUUGACUAUCGCACACUCACACACACCCAAACACGCAGAGAGACAACUGAGGCCGGCCAGACAACUCACAUACACACUCACACAGGCAAACGCAUAGAGACGCACACACAAGUGUAAAGGCGACUUCAGCUAGCAGUUAGCAGCUACAGUUAUCAAAUGUGGCUGCUGCCGGCCUGUCAACUCGCCCAGACAGACACAGAGACGCAAAGAGUGAGGCCGCAGUGACAGCGACAGCGAGAGAGAGCGAGGCAGAUUAAAGAGUAAGAGAGGUAGAGCUGAGCAAGCGAGGGGUGCUUGUAUUUAUGUACAUAAUUCAUACGAGAGUAUGUGCAAUGUUUGUGCUUGACUUGACGACUUGGCGACUUUGGCGUAUCAGCUAACCGGAUGUUGAUUUGUUGGCCAUGCCACAAACACAACGCAACAACGCAACACACGGCAACCAUCUUAAAAGGCAAUGCAGCGUCAUAAAAAAUUGGCAUUUGGAACAUCCUUAAAAGAUGAAAAAGAAUGCCAAAUGACGAGAGAUAAAAGCCGAUGCCUCGGACAAUGCAACAAAAUGUUGAAUGCAUCUGAAAAUCAACAGUGCAACAUUUAGAACAAAGCUACCGCCUCGACGCUUUCCCAAGACUCUCUCUUUCUUCACCUCUAUAUACUGAUAAACUAAAGUGUAUAAAGAAAAACAUCGGUGGAACUGAAAGUCUCAUCGCAAACUGUUUGCUUAAGCUGAUGUCGCAUUUUUCACCCCAUAUUUGAGGCAAUACGGAAAAUUUAUGCCAAGUGCCUUGGGAUGCGGUGAAGGAGGAGGAGCACACACUUCCGGCAGGACUAACAAAGCGUCAUGGCUGACUUGACUUGACUUGGCUAAAACUUGACUGCGAGGCUCCAAAAAGUAAACGCAACUCGCAACUUGUGACGACGACUCUAGGAUGGAGGAUGGAGACAGGAGCUGCACCACUCGAGGAGGCGCCUCCUGAUGUCUCAGGCAACUGGAGAUGGGAAACGGAACGGAAACGGACUCAAUAGGCAUGCACCACCAAUAAUAAUAAUCAGCUGCGUCAGCCGCAAACUUGAUGCUUUGCAGCUUGUCCUCGGGGGAGGCAUAAAGCGACGCUCCACGUUCCAUCUUUGCGAGCAGGGCGAGAAGUUGUCAACGCAAAAUGGCGCGCCACAGAACCACGCCUAAUGUGCAUUUGAUGCCCAGAUACCCAGAUGCCCAGAUGCUCAGAUGAGCGGAGGAGCUGCAUCACAGCGGCUGCCAUUGAAAAAUUAUCAUGUGGACAACUAAAUGCUUCACUUCCGGCGCAGCGAUGGAAGGAGGAGGAAAACACCGACACAUCAGAGGCAUCAGGUGCAGCAAAUGAUUUUGCAUAAAAACUAAACCCAAGCUUUGGGGUCAAUUUUUUUGAAUCAAUCUUUUAUCAUGGUCAUGGUACGGUGCGACCGGAUGAUGGUUCACAACGACCGUGAUUUUUAAACUGGUCGGUGGGACUUUCGUCCGUUUGUAACGCCAUUUGUCAACGAAUCAGCCAGCUCCGAUGUCAUUAUUUAUGAUCCCUAAUGGGCCGCCGAGUUGAGCUAUUUAUCGCUCAAUCAACCAUCUGCAAUGUCCAGUGAUAGCCGCGCCAUCAAUUAACUAUUAAUAAAAGCCAAUGUUAAAUAUAUUUUCAAUAAUCAAAUUUAAACACUUAACGAGUUUUCCUUCUUUUAAAAUUUAAGCAAAUUCAAAUUGAAGAAAAUUAUUGAGUAUUUAUAUAAUGAAAUUGUACAAUUAAAUAGUCACACAUCAAUCAAUGGAAAUC